CUCUACACCACACAAGUGUAUGUGCUAUAUCUCAACAAGUUGCGGCAAAAAAAUAAAUAUGUCUUAUCAAUUAUACCGCAACACAACUUUGGGAAAUACUUUGCAGGAGAGCCUUGACGAACUUAUACAGUAUGGACAGAUUACGCCGGCCCUUGCUUUCAAGGUGCUUCUACAAUUUGAUAAGAGUAUCAAUACAGCACUUAACCAGCGAGUAAAAGCCCGAGUCACCUUUAAGGCUGGAAAACUAAACACUUACCGAUUUUGCGAUAAUGUGUGGACGUUAAUGUUAAACGACGUGGAGUUUCGCGAGGUUCAUGAAUUUGUAAAGGUUGACAAAGUGAAAAUCGUAGCUUGCGACGGAAAGAGUGGGGAAUUCAAUGGCUAACUUCAAUACAAACCCAUUAGCUUGUCCUUCGUAAACGCCCUAUUCACGCAUUUUCCAAUUAAGAUGCCGAUUCCCCGAUAUCUGGAGAAGUUCUUACAUCUUCCCUCUCUAUAAAAAAGGACCUAAAUGUGACAUUGAAAAUUACAGAGGGAUUUCUAAACUCUCUGCUAUCCCCAAACUUCUUAAAAAACUGAUGACCUCUCAGUUACAGCACCAUUGCAGGUCCAU